rnacentral:rRNA from 1 species
GACGAACGCUGGCGGCGUGCUUAACACAUGCAAGUCGAGCGAUGAAGCUCCUUCGGGAGUGGAUUAGCGGCGGACGGGUGAGUAACACGUGGGCAACCUGCCUUAUAGAGAGGAAUAGCCAUCCGAAAGGAUGAUUAAUCCCUCAUAAUAUUGUAGCUUCGCAUGGAGCAACAAUCAAAGGAGCAAUCCACUAUAAGAUGGGACCGCGGCGCAUUAGCUAGUUGGUGAGGUAAAGGCUCACCAAGGCGACGAUGCGUAGCCGACCUGAGAGGGUGAUCGGCCACAUUGGGACUGAGACACGGCCCAGACUCCUACGGGAGGCAGCAGUGGGGGAUAUCGCACAAUGGGGGAAACCCUGAUGCAGCAACGCCGCGUGAGUGAUGACGGCCUUCGGAUUGUAAAGCUCUGUCUUCAGGGACGAUAAUGACGGUACCUGAGGAGGAAGCCACGGCUAACUACGUGCCAGCAGCCGCCGUAACAC